UCUGUCAGAGGUGACUGUCUCAUUCCUCUGCGCAGGAGCACUUUCAGUAAGUCAGCCUGGUCAGUGAGGACCGCUGGUGAGUGGAACUCAGUACCUGAGGAGGUUAAACUGCUUACAACAUACAAGGCCUUCACAAAAAAACUGAAAAUGUGGCUAGUUAACACCUAUAGCUGCCAUCACUAAAAGACAAGUAUGUUAUGUUGUCUUUUUGUUAUGAUCAAAAAAAUUAUGGUUUUAUUCUCUCUUAAUAGUAUAGUUUGAUUAUGUAUCCUGUAUUAUAUUGUCUUGUAGAUGUAUUUUACUGCUUUUUUACAUCAUGGCCAGGGGACUACAGAUGAAAACUAGCCUUCUGGCUAAUUCUGGCUUUUUUAACCAUGUGUACUUCAUGUGUUUUAUGAAAUUGCAUUGUCCCCUUUCAAAAAUAAACUGAUAAACAUAAAAUCACUGUUUAAAAACUGUAUUUAUUGUGUUCUUGGGUUAUAUUUGUCUGAUAUUUACAUUUGCUUGAUGAUCUUAGUUUUCACAACACACACGUAGAUAGAUAGAUAGAUAGAUAGAUAGAUAGAACAACAGAGAAAAAAUUUGCACUGCUGAAGAUGACUCACUUCGCCUUUUGCCGUGAAAAUGCGUGGCUAUUACUUGAUCGUACAUAAAAUAGCUUACAGCAUUGUAGUCAUUUUACCUCAACCUAAUAAAAAUUGGAUCACAUCCCAUUUUAAUAUUGAGAAACCCUGCUCUAAAGUGAACCCAGAUAUGGAAAUCUGCUUAUGUGCCCCCAGGCUCACACCAUUUGUAUGAUUUACUGAAAGAAAGCAGACAUGCAAAAAGUAUCUUGUUCUUGUGCUUCAUUUGAAGUGCUUUGAUACUCCAAAUUGGAAAUGGGCUAAUGUGGUACAUGAAAGCAGGUUGGUAACGGUUACAAACAAAAGCGAACUCUGUGUGCAGUGCUUUUAAAAAUUGAUAAAAAUGCUUUAAAAUAUGGACAGUUAUGGCUAAUCUGGAGCAAGAUUAAUUGGUUGUAUUAUUCUCACACACGUGCACUAUUAAAGCAUGUUAUUAACAUACGGACAUUAUUGUUGAACAAAGAAAAACACAGAGUGGUGACAGAAGUAACUUGUAACUGAUGAGACCAGAAUUAAAAACACCCAAGAAUGUCAAAGAACAAAAGAUCAGACAACAGGAUUCUGAAGUGGCCUUCUCUGAGUACUGAUUUAAAUCCUAUUAACAUCUGGAGAAGAAGCUGAACCGUGCUGUUUAGAGAAGGCAAUCUUCAAACCAAAGACAGCUAGAGCAGUUUUCCCAUGAGGAGCAGACUUGUCAGUUGCACAAGUCUUUGGACAAUCUAAAUGCUUUGACGUAAAAAAGCUUAAAGUGGUUUAAUGUCCGAAAACUGCAAUCAAUCAUCACCAAAACGUGUGUGUACAUCUCUAGUCAUGCCAAAUUUCACUUCUGAAAAUAUCAAAAUGGUAACUACAGUAUUACGGAUGCUGUCUACGUUAAGCCUUUUCCAAUAAGGAAAUGUAAGGUUAUUGUGAUAUUUUCAGAGGUUGAAGUGGGCAUGAGUAGAGAAGUAUACACAAGUUUUGGUGACGAUUGAUCGCAGUCAUCGGACAUUAAAUGAGGUUAAAGAAUUUUACGUUUGUUAUGCGUUUUAGACUGUCCCCAAUUCAUUGAGAGUUACAGAAUUUGUUUGAUUGCAGUUACUGCCUCAAAAGGUGGUGAUGCCAAAACUAAAUUAAGGGUACCAUAAUUUUUGUCCAGGUCGGUUUCAUUAGUUUAUCUUUAAAAAAAUAAUUAUACUCGACCAGAUUUCAAUACAUGUACAAUAAUAAUGGGAUUUUGUCUUCUUGCAAACUGAUAAUGCCAAACAAAAUAUUGUACAGUAUGAUGAUUUCAAAGUCAAUCAUGUCAUAUGCUAAAUUUACCGUUGCUAGGUUGUUAAAAUGCAUGACUCCGUUGUAAACUGUGUGCACGGUGUGUUGCAGGUGGCAGCAAAGCCCAGUGUCACGGCUGUCUCGAGUACUGCUGCGAAGGCUCGCCACCUUUCUGCUGCUCCUAUUACGCCUUCGUGGAGGACGUCCUUUCGCUAUUACAACCCACCAUCUGCCUUUUAUGUCGCAAAAAAACUAUUUAUUUCAGGCAAAAGUGUGCUUAAGAUUAGCGUGAAAGCCGCUAACUCACUCACCAACUGUCCUUUAGCUUACCAGAAGGACUUAGCUAAACAUGCAUGCGGUGACGCUUGUAUUUAUCAUUACUCAUCACUAUCACCAUGCUUUUUCACAAUAACAUGCUGACUAAUUUUGACUAUGACAACGCUAUUCAAAGGCACCACAAAAAUCCUGGUAACACUCAUUCACAUCCACGUCACACCGUUGACUAAUAGCAGAUGAUGCAGUAGGUCACUGUGGCAACACCCUAAAAGCGUUUGAGAUCGCUUCGUCCUCUUCCUCACGUGUGACUGCUUGUGUGUUCCAGGGGCACUGCCAUUUCUGGGAUUGUGUUUGGCUUGGUGUUUCUGAUGGCCGCAAUGGCAGCCUUGUUCCUGUGUCUCUGCAUGUGUGUGAAAAAUGGACAUGGCGCCAGGGUCGGUGUGUUCAGCACAUCAUGCAUUAACACUGUUCCACAGGCCUACUCAGGUUCAAAAUGGGGAAGACUGCAGACUUGACAACUGACCAGAAGACCAUCAUUGAUACCCUCCAUAGGAUGGGUAAGCCACAAAAGUUCAUAGCUAAGGAGGCUGGCUGUUCACAUAGCGCUAUGUCCAAGCAUAUCCAUGAAAAGUCUAGUGGAAGGACAAAAUGUGGCAGGAGAAGAUGCACCAGCAAAAGUGAUGACCGUGGGCUUCAGUGGAUUAUCAGACAGAGAAGAUUCAAGAAUCUAGAAUCUAGAUCCAGAAAGAGUGGACUGAGGCAGGUGUCACAGCUUCAAAAACCACCACAUUCCGACGCACUGUCAGGUUCCUCGGGUCAAGCCACUUCUGAGACUAAGCCAACGUAGGAAGCAUCUCAACGGGCCAAUGAGAAGAAUGACUGGACUGUUGGCCAGUGGUCCAAGGUCCUCUUUUCCGAUGAAAGUAAUGUAUACCUUUCACUCGGGAAUCAAGGGUCCAAGGGUCUGGAGGAAGGCGGGUGAAGAACAGAACCCAAGCUGCUUGAGUUCCAGUGUGAAAUAUUCACAGUCAGUCAUGAUUUGGUAUGCAAUGUCCAGUGCAGGUGUUGGUAAACUCUGCUUUCUUAAAUCCAAGAUCACUGCAAGAGUCUACCAGAAUGUUUUAGAGGACUUCAUGAUUCCUUCUGCUGAGGAUCUGCAUGUAGAUGCAGAUUUCAUCUUCCAGCAGGACCAGGCCCCUGCCCAAAAUGAGGGACGCCAGACCCCAAAACAAAGAAGAACUGACAGCCACCAUCAAGGAAAUCUGAGUUUCCAUAAAUGCUACAGGGUGAUUGCCUCAAUGCCAUGGCGCAUCGAGGCAGGGAUUAAAGCAAAGGGAUUUCCAACCAGGUCCUCCGCCUCUAUACUCCUACGACUGUGAGACGUAUCCUCCACCUCUACACCCUCCACCCUACACACCGGUUCAGUCAGGGCUAGCCAGCUAAUCCCCUCCUCCUCCUUACUCGAGGCGCACGAGCAAAUGAUUGCAUGGAUCUUCCACUGGCAGCUGAAAUGAAGCGCUCAGGCAGGCCUGGCUAUGCAGGCAACAGAAUAACCUCAGGUGUGUGGAGCAGGGCCCAGUGCAAUAAUGAUUCAGCACUCAGGCUACCCGAGCAGUGAGUUCUUCUGCUGAGUAGAUGAAAAAUGAAGACGGUGUUGAGGAAAUUAAUAAUAAUUGAAUACAAUGUAGGACAGGACAAUGAGGCACUGGAACUUGCUGUGCUUGCCGGCAGCCAUUACCAAACGCUUAUCAUCUCCGGCCAUGCACUUCAAAGGGACUGAGUUGUCUUUUUAAAUUGAAGACUACCUUUCUUGAGGGAACAUUUUUACUACCCCGGGAAGAAAGUUUUCCCAGGACAUUUAUAGACAUAUUUUUUCUUUCAUUUUUUAAAUUAUUUUCUUUUAAUUAUUUCAUCAAUGUGAUUGUUUCUGGGGUAAAACCUGAUGUGAAGUGCCUAUCUGAACAAAGCAGGACUGGCAUGUCCAGGGUGGAAAAUGAAACUGCUUUUCCCACUGAUACUUGACAUAAUGAGUGACAGUGAACUGGGGUCACAAGCUGAGCCACUCUGACACGUCAAUAUUGUGCAACAUUUAUUACAUGCAUUUCAGUUGUGCUCAUUCAAACUGCUGUCACAGUGUGAUAGCAUAGUGACUGUGAAUGGAGGAUGAGACUUUACUGUGCUGAAUGCAUAAAUGACUCCUGGCUGUGUGUUAGAUAAAUUGUAGAAGUUAUCAUUUAUUUGCUUAGCUUGCAUUAGUAUAAUGGACAAUUUUAGAUGUCUCGCCUUCAAAAAGAAGACUCAGCAUCAUCCGAUGGAAGGGCGCCUGGACCAAGGACGUGAUCGGAUGUGGUCGGGUCGUGACAGGUGUUGGUUCAAUAUUAUGUGUUGUGUCUUAUUGUUUAGAAUACUAUGUCUGGGAAAAACCCUCUUAUUAUCAAAUAUUUUGUGUUGUGUCUUAUUGCUUAGAACAUUAUGAUUUGUAAAUCCCUCCUAUUUCAAAUAAAAGCAGGAGCGAGGGGGGGGAUUGUUUAGAGCGUGUU